rnacentral:lncRNA from 1 species
UAAAUUUUUGGUUUAGUUUUGAAUUUAUGAUUUUUUUUCCAUGUGUUAUCUUUUUAUUUAAAUUGUUUAUUAGUAGAAUUAAUUUGUUAUAUUUGGUUUAGAUUUGUAGUUAUUUAAAUUGGAGUUAAAUCCUAAUCUAAUUGGGAUUAUAUAAUUUGGCAUAUAUGGAGUUUAAAAUAGAUUAGAAUUAAGAUUCGGAAUAAAUAAUGAGCUGGCAAUUUACUAUUGGUCACGGCAAUAUUAAUUUGAGUCCGACUCAAAUU